ACUGGUGACAAGAGAAUUAGAGGU
rnacentral:miRNA from 1 species